rnacentral:lncRNA from 1 species
ACAGGCUCUCUAAGGAUACCAAAUCUCUACACCUCUGACAUUAGGAAAGCAUGCUACUGCCCAGAAUGUGGAUUUCUGUAUUUAACUCAUUAUUUUAAUGAGGAAGACUGAUAGCACUCCCUUCAUUGCUUAGAUCGCUAUGUACUGAAAGACAA